UCUACGGGUGGCAGCAGUGGGGAAUAUUGCACAAUGGGGGAAACCCUGAUGCAGCGACGCCGCGUGAGUGAAGAAGUAUUUCUGUAUGUAAAGCUCUAUCAGCAGGGAAGAAAUAGCGACCUUUGGGUCGCCAGACGGUACCUGAUUAAGAAGCCCCUGCUAACUACGUGCCAGCAGCCGCGGUAAUACGUAGGGGGCAAGCGUUAUCCGGAUUUACUGGGUGUAAAGGGAGCGUAGACGGCAGCGCAAGUCUGAAGGGAAAUGCCGGGGCUUAACCCCGGAACUGUCUUGGAAACUGGGCAGCUAGAGUGCAGGAGAGGUAAGUGGAAUUCCUAGUGUAGCGGUGAAAUGCGUAGAGAUUAGGCGGAACACCAGUGGCGAAGGCGGCUUACUGGACUGUAACUGACGUUGAGGCUCGAAAGCGUGGGGAGCAAACAGGAUUAGAUACCCUUGUAGUC
rnacentral:rRNA from 1 species